UGGACAGAAAGACCCUAUGAAGCUUUACUGUAACUUGAAAUUGAAAUUGGACUUUAUUCGCGCAGCACAGGUGGGAGGCGUUGAUUAUAAUCUUGCGGGAUUAUUGGAGCCAUCAGUGAGAUACCACUCUUGUAAUGUUAGAUUUCUAACUUUGAAUCAUUAUCUGGUCAAAGAGCAGUUUCAGGCGGGCAGUUUGACUGGGGCGGUCGCCUCCUAAACGGUAACGGAGGCGUACAAAGGUUUCCUCUGAACGGUUAGAAAUCGUAUCUAGAGUGUAAAGGCAUAAGGAAGCUUGACUGUGAGACCUACAAGUCGAGCAGGGACGAAAGUCGGUCUUAGUGAUCUGACGGUACUGAGUGGAAAGGCCGUCACUCAACGGAUAAAAGUUACUCUAGGGAUAACAGGCU
rnacentral:rRNA from 1 species